UCGCUUGUAUUAACGCGGUGUACCUCAGAAACUGCGAGUUACCGACCGCAUUGCGGUACUUGCUGCCCGAUUCGUGUCCGUGGGUCGGUAACUGGCCAAAAAACGCGAGCAUAAAUUAUGGCUGACUCUUCCUGUAUCGGAUUUUUCGACUGGUCUUCGAACUUCGUCGGCCUCUGCGCGCGUAAUGAAACGAUUGAAAAUUACAGGGGCCCACGGUGAUAGUUAGAGCAGCGAGAUAACAUCGGUCGUGCCACGGCAUUUUAUCGUGUGUUGUUUUAAGCGUACUAACGACCGAGUAAUUAAGUCUGCUAGCACUGCCUCCCUUGAGGCCUCUCUUCUCCUUUCCAAACUCUACUUAUGCGUGUUAAUUAUCGAAUUAAGAAACACGUGUAUAUACUACGUUCAUGUCCGCAUAAAUGUUUGAUGUCUCGCUUAGUGGCUCAGAGUAAACUAUACAAGCCCCAGAAAAAGUUUAGGAAUAAGGUAUGUACUAUGUAUAUAGAGGAUGAUCCCCAUGUAAUUGGAAACAUAACUCGUAACUCCAUAAAUAUUGACGUUAUCGAAAGUUGUUAAUGGCAAAAAAUAUGGCUUUAAAGGAGGUCGUGUAUUAUACUGCUCAAUAUUUUUAGGGAGACUACAGUUGAAGAUUGAAGAAAACAUGGAGAUAACGUUAGAAUAUUGAUAUUUCUUGCGAAACCUAUAAUCUACUAUAAGUUCACCCAUUAUAAUGUUUGAUUAAAUCAAAAUGUUUACCCUGAACACUAAGAUACUUAAUAUUUCCUUAAAUCGGAAACAAACUAAUUAUUAUCUAUAUGACCUAUUUAGGGCCACGUUUAUAUUUUCAGAGACUCUAGGCGCAACAUCAUUAUUAGGCCUAAUUAAAUUGUACAGUUAAGUUUUAGAAUAUGGCCCCAUAGAGAGUAGGACUAAAUGUGGCCCUAAACCGAAGUGUUCACAAUUUAAAAUUAACGAUAUUUCAUUCUUAUUUCCGAAAUCAUACUUCAAAUAUUUUUAUCAGCAACAGCACAAGAAAUCGAGCUAUCAAAUUCACCCACUGAAGUCAACCAAGUAAAGUCAUAAGCCAAGCAUCAAAUACACUAUAGUGACAUAACCUAGCAAUGACAUCCAUAAAUCGGUCGCUGGCAGACAUUUUUAUCAGUCAACCAACGAGAUUAAAAAGCUUCCUGUCACAUGCUUGCACGCAUUCCAUAGUGGUGGCCCAAUCGCAAUCAUGAUUCGCGUCAGUAUGAGAGAAGACAAAUAAAAGACAGCUGCUGCGUUCACAGAAAUAAGACGAGACAAAAUGAACCUUCUUCGUUUCUUUUAUCCAAUAAUGCGUACCGUUCAGUGACGUAUUCCGGAAUACAGGGCCUUACGCGACAUCGAGGGAAACAGAGAAAGGGUAUACACGUGCACAUGUUUGUACAUACACGAGAAAAGGAGAGAGGAAUUGGACGAGGAAAAAUGAUACUUCAUUUCGAUACAAGUAAAUGUAGGAAAGGAAUGUCACGAUCAAGCUAGAGAAAAAAGUUAUAGCUUUUAUAGGAAAAUUACAUAGUCGUGUACGAAAAAGAUGCAAAUUGUACGAAAGAAAGGAAAGAGAAAAUACUAGACGGGCGGAAAUGAAAUUGAAAGAAAACGCGUUCGAAAAAAGGAGGAAGAGUUUACAAAAGGUGUAAAGAAAAGAACAGGAGAGGAAAGGGGGCGUCGAAGACAGGGAGUAGGAGGGAGGUGUGGAAGGAGCACGAGAGUACGGAGCAAGAAACGCAGCACGAGGGCUGUGCACACGAGCUUGGGGAAACAUACGUAUGCGCAUUAAUGUGUGUGAACGCACCGCGUGCGCUAUGCGCUGCGUCUGUCCUUGCGUCCUGGCUCAACACGCCUUGGCAGUUGCCAUGCGGGACACCGGGUUCGUGAGUUGACGUCACUCUAUCUCCCAACAGACGAGUUAAUAUUGAUAAGUAGAAGCGUUACAUGCCCUGGAUGUUGGGAUGAAGGGACAUCAGCUCAAACCAAGUCGAAUAAUCGACGCGCGUUUCGCAAACCAGUACCAUAAUGUGAUCUUUUUCGUUAGCCAAAUAAUGUUUAAGAUACUGAAAGGGUAUGUGGCACGUGAUAUCACUAAUCUAGAAAUAUAUUAUUUUAAAAUUA